rnacentral:lncRNA from 1 species
AAAAUUAUAUAUAUAUAUAUAUAUAUAUAUAUAUAAAAUUAAAAAAUAAUGUAUUUUUUCUACAAUGUUGAACAAACAUUUCCAUCACGUUAAAUCAAGAAAACCACAAAAGAGAUCUCCAAGUUUUAAUUCUCUCAAGGGGGAGUUUUCAAUUCUUCAAUGGGGGAAGAGUUUAAAAUCUAGGAUUCUGGACUUUCUCCGCCCUCGAUAUCUUCGAUUUCAGCUGCUCGUGCGGCUCGGCCCCAACUGGCGUCGUUCACGACGCCACAAACUCACCGACC